rnacentral:rRNA from 1 species
AACGUAGGUGGCAAGCGUUAUCCGGAUUCACUGGGCGUAAAGGGCACGCAGGCGGCUCGGCAGGUAGGGCAUGAAAUCUCCCGGCUUAACUGGGAGGGGCUGUCCUAAACCGCUGGGCUUGAGGGCGGGAGAGGGAAGUGGAAUUGCCGGUGUAGUGGUGAAAUGCGUAGAGAUCGGCAGGAACACCAGUGGCGAAGGCGACUUCCUGGUCCGCCCCUGACGCUCAUGUGCGAAAGCUAGGGUAGCGAAC